rnacentral:rRNA from 1 species
UACGGGGGGGGCAAGCGUUGUUCGGAAUUACUGGGCGUAAAGGGCUCGUAGGCGGCCAACUAAGUCAGACGUGAAAUCCCUCGGCUUAACCGGGGAACUGCAUCUGAUACUGGAUGGCUUGAGAUUGGGAGAGGGAUGCGGAAUUCCAGGUGUAGCGGUGAAAUGCGUAGAUAUCUGGAGGAACACCGGUGGCGAAGGCGGUUCUCUGGGACGGUACUGACGCUGAGACGCGAAAGCGUGGGGAGCGAACAGG